rnacentral:rRNA from 1 species
GAUGAACGCUAGCUACAGGCUUAACACAUGCAAGUCGAGGGGUAACGAGAGGAAAGCUUGCUUUCCUUGUCGACGACCGGCGCACGGGUGAGUAACGCGUAUCCAACCUGCCCCCAACUAGGGAAUAACCUUGCGAAAGUAAGACUAAUACCCUAUAAUUUCCUCAGAUGUCAUCUGACGAGGAAUAAAGAUUUAUCGGUUGUGGAUGGGGAUGCGUCUGAUUAGCUUGUUGGCGGGGUAACGGCCCACCAAGGCAACGAUCAGUAGGGGUUCUGAGAGGAAGGGCCCCCACAUUGGAACUGAGACACGGUCCAAACUCCUACGGGAGGAAGCAGUGAGGAAUAUUGGUCAAUGGGCGGAAGCCUGAACCAGCCAAGUAGCGUGCAGGAUGACGGCCCUAUGGGUUGUAAACUGCUUUUAUACAGGAAUAAAGUUAGCCACGUGUGGUUAUUUGUAGGUACUGUAUGAAUAAGGACCGGCUAAUUCCGUGCCAGCCGCCGCUGUAA